ACUCCGGCCCCAACAGCUAUUUCUUGCCUACCUCCUCCCAGAAUAUAGGGGUUCUGCACCUCCGCCCAUAUAGAGCUUCGAAUGGUGUCAUUUGAAUAGCCUCAUAA